AGAGAGAUGGAAUGUAAACCCGAGAGUUUCAAGUCAUAUUGUGAAAAUUACAGUUAAGCUUUAGAGUACAAUAUCUUGAACAGGUUUUAUAAAUAUAGCUUGCCAGUUACAGAGCUUUAAAUUUUUAUAUGCUGCUCAGGAUGAAUAAUUAACUGGCUGAAAUCUAUGGCUAAUUGUAUUUUCAUUUGAUUUGACUUUUCAAGCGCAAAUGUUACAUGCUAGUUUUAUACUAAUGAUUACCCAUUUCUCUGUAGAUCUCUGCAGAUCUUGCUGUUGCCAGUAAGAAAGUCUAACAUCAUUCUUUCACUUGUAAGAGAAUCUGGUAAUUCGAGCAUCAGCUACUGCUCUGCAAAUUCUGUCUACCUUGAAGAGCUCUGUGAAAAUAUAAUCUGAUGGCUCAGGAUGCUGUACGAUUUUUCCUCRCUUCCACUCUCCUCCGCUCUCUAGUGGCUACUAACACACGCGCUGCUUAAAUGAUAACUGUAAAUGAGAGAACACUGCGUUCCCUGCAAACCUGAAGACUUCUCUGCCAUUGUUUUAUGGGCAAAUAUGUGUACAUGAUGCAAAGAAAGGAGAGGAAUGGGAGGCAAACGGAGCAGCUGUGCAGCGCCCCAACGCGUGACUGGGAUUUACCGUCUGGGCAGCGGUGCUGGGCUGCCAAGGGUUUCCGCCAGCGCUUCAUCUCCCACCUGCCUGCUGUGAGGUGCCCUCGCAGGACCUCCUCGCACUGUUCCACCCACAGGAUGAGGCGUAGAGGAGGCUUCUUAAAGAACAGCGUUUGAAAACACAUGCUUUCAGGCACUAACAUGUUUCUGGAUAACAAGUUUCUYUUAAAAGGAGUGUUGAAGUACGUGGAAACAUUUGAUUAGCUGAAGUUGUGCAAUGCUGCCUCUCCGCAAACAGUGAGAUACAAAACUUGGAGAAACUCUUCACUGCUGAAAAUGGUCRUGUCAUUUCCAGGGUGGAUGUACUGGAAAGAAAGAUUUGGUUUAAAUCAAGUCUAAAAUACAGCAACUGCCAACUCUCAGUUUUAAAUAGACUUUUUAAUUUUUUUUUCCUGUUCUGCUGACCUUUUCCAGUGUAAUUCCAUUCUGUUCAGUCUCUGGGUUUUUACAUUUACAUAAAAUCUUCCAACAGUAAAUUAAGUUACAUGGCUAAAAUCAGUCGUCUAUAGUUUGUUUUCUCUUUCUUAAUUCUAUCCCAUCCCUGAGAAAUGGGGGGAGGGUGGCUGGGAAUAAUAGGAAAGAAAGACUAUUAAUGCAGUAUUUCUGAUAUGGUGAGAAUGCAAAAGUACUGCAGCAGGCUCUUGUG
rnacentral:lncRNA from 1 species